ACCUGAUGAUGUGGACAUUUAUAGAGGAGGUCCCUAAAUCCCUCCCAAGUCUAAAAGAAAAGUUCCCCAUCCAUCUGUGAAAAACGUGUGAUGGCUCUGCAAAGCU